rnacentral:rRNA from 1 species
CCAGACUCCUACGGAGGCAGCAGUGGGGAAUAUUGCACAAUGGGCGGAAGCCUGAUGCAGCAACGCCGCGUGCGGGAUGACGGCCUUCGGGUUGUAAACCGCUUUCGCCUGUGACGAAGCGUGAGUGACGGUAAUGGGUAAAGAAGCACCGGCUAACUACGUGCCAGCAGCCGCGGUGAUACGUAGGGUGCGAGCGUUGUCCGGAUUUAUUGGGCGUAAAGGGCCCGUAGGUGGUUGAUCGCGUCGGAAGUGUAAUCUUGGGGCUUAACCCUGAGCGUGCUUUCGAUACGGGUUGACUUGAGGAAGGUAGGGGAGAAUGGAAUUCCUGGUGGAGCGGUGGAAUGCGCAGAUAUCAGGAGGAACACCAGUGGCGAAGGCGGUUCUCUGGGCCUUUCCUGACGCUGAGGAGCGAAAGCGUGGGGAGCGAACAGGCUUAGAUACCCUGGUAGUCCACGCUGUAAACGGUGGGUACUAGGUGUGGGGUCCAUUCCACGGGUUCCGUGCCGUAGCUAACGCUUUAAGUACCCCGCCUGGGGAGUACGGCCGCAAGGCUAAAACUCAAAGGAAUUGACGGGGGCCCGCACAAGA